GAGCGCGCCUCGGCCCCGCCUCUACUCUCCGCCGGCAGCGGGUUGGCCCGCGGGAGCUUGCACGGCUCGACAGCCGAGGGGCGCGGGAGCUGCGCCUCUCCUGCCCUUUGCGCUCCCGUGGCCUGUCGGCGCUAGGGGCCUGCGGCGGGCGAGAGGAUAGGGGCUUCUCCCGCCCCCGCACCCCAACCCGUUCCCCAGUCAGGUCGCCCCGUAGCGCGGCUGCAAAACCAAAUUUGAUUAAAAAUUAUGCCGAAUGAGUUUCAACUUUUGUUACCACUUUCUAGAUAUGUCCUUAAGAAAGAAGCAAAGCAACAUCUCACUGUGGCCAGUCCUGUGCAAACAGGGAAAGUGGUACGAGAGGGAUGGAGACUUCAUGGAGACCUCUGUAGCAUCAGCUUCCAGAAUGAGUUAAGUCCUGUGUCAAGCCUUCAGCAGUGUAAAGGUUUUGAGACUCCGUACUUAGGAAAGCAGAUGAAUUUGGUGUUUCUCACCAUUUUUAAGAAAUACUUGUUCAGGAAAUUGUAAUCUCUCAAUAUUUUGAGAAUUUAGGACCCAGUCCAAUUUCUGCAUUCUGCAUCAACCUCACCUUCAAGACUCUGGUCGGCUUCUGAAAAAUCGUAUUUUUCAGCAGAGGAUUUAUUUCAAAGGUUACUGUAACAGCUGUCAAAUAGCAGUGACAAAAUGUAGUUUCGAGCUUUUAUUACUUGUGUAUGUGUUUGCAUUUCUCCUUAAUUGCAGCAAAACAGAUGUCAAUUUUUUUCAGAGUGGGAGACAAACCAGAAGGGUCCUAAAUAUUUUCCUACAGGAAUGGUAAUUUGAACACAAUAGCAUUUUCCUAGCACAUGAAAUGCAGAGAGUGAGAUGAUUGAUAAUCCUUUUUCUAUUCAAAAGUGGUGAUUGCAAAACUGAGUAGAAGCCUCAAAUUAAUAGCAAAGGCUGUCAGUAUCACUGGUUAUAUCCAGUUUAUUUUUAAAGCAUCAAAGGGAAACUGUUCACAUAUUCUAUGUAGAUUGAAAAAAAAAAAUUAAAAGAUUAUAAUCUUAUUUACCAUCAAAGACUGGAGGAGCAGCGGAAAAGGAAGGCCUUGUAUAAAUCAAUAUGGACAUUGAUACAUUUAUUUCCUGAUUAAAUACACUUUUUAUUUGGAAGAGCUGUAGCACACAAAACAAUAAAGGGGAAAUACUGAUUCA